rnacentral:rRNA from 1 species
GGUCCUACGGGGGGCAGCAGUGGGGAAUAUUGCACAAUGGGGGAAACCCUGAUGCAGCGACGCCGCGUGAGUGAAGAAGUAUUUCGGUACGUAAAGCUCUAUCAGCAGGGAAGAAAAAAAGUCCUUUGGACUUUGGACGGUACCUGACCAAGAAGCCCCGGCUAACUACGUGCCAGCAGCCGCGGUAAUACGUAGGGGGCAAGCGUUAUCCGGAUUCACUGGGCGUAAAGGGAGCGCAGGCGGCACGGCAAGCCUGGUGUGAAAACCCGGGGCCCAACCCCGGGGGUGCAUUGGGAACUGCCGCG